rnacentral:tRNA from 1 species
UCCCUGGUGGCUCAGACGGUAAAGCGUCUGCCUACAAUGCAGGAGACCCAGGUUCAAUCCCUGAGUCAGGAA